AUUGAACGCUGGUGGCAGGCCUAACACAUGCAAGUCGAGCGGAUGAAGGGAGCUUGCUCCUGGAUUCAGCGGCGGACGGGUGAGUAAUGCCUAGGAAUCUGCCUGGUAGUGGGGGAUAACGUCCGGAAACGGGCGCUAAUACCGCAUACGUCCUGAGGGAGAAAGUGGGGGAUCUUCGGACCUCACGCUAUCAGAUGAGCCUAGGUCGGAUUAGCCAGUUGGUGGGGUAAAGGCCUACCAAGGCGACGAUCCGUAACUGGUCUGAGAGGAUGAUCAGUCACACUGGAACUGAGACACGGUCCAGACUCCUACGGGAGGCAGCAGUGGGGAAUAUUGGACAAUGGGCGAAAGCCUGAUCCAGCCAUGCCGCGUGUGUGAAGAAGGUCUUCGGAUUGUAAAGCACUUUAAGUUGGGAGGAAGGGCAGUAAGUUAAUACCUUGCUGUUUUGACGUUACCAACAGAAUAAGCACCGGCUAACUUCGUG
rnacentral:rRNA from 1 species